CCCUGCCAUUUGUACACACCGCCCGUCGCUACUACCGAUCGAAUGGUUUAGUGAGGUCUCGGGAUUGGCGCCUUGGAGCUGUUCGCAGCACCAUGGUGCCGAGAACUUGAUCAAACUUGAUCAUUUAG
rnacentral:rRNA from 1 species